AUUGAACGCUGGCGGCAGGCCUAACACAUGCAAGUCGAGCGGUAGCACAGGGAGCUUGCUCCUGGGUGACGAGCGGCGGACGGGUGAGUAAUGUCUGGGAAACUGCCUGAUGGAGGGGGAUAACUACUGGAAACGGUAGCUAAUACCGCAUAACGUCGCAAGACCAAAGAGGGGGACCUUCGGGCCUCUUGCCAUCAGAUGUGCCCAGAUGGGAUUAGCUAGUAGGUGGGGUAACGGCUCACCUAGGCGACGAUCCCUAGCUGGUCUGAGAGGAGGACCGGCCACACUGGAACUGAGACACGGUCCAGGCUCCUACGGGAGGCAGCAGUGGGGAAUACUGCACAAUGGGCGCAAGCCUGAUGCAGCCAUGCCGCGUGUAUGAAGAAGGCCUUCGGGUUGUAAAGUACUUUCAGCGGGGAGGAAGGCGAUAAGGUUAAUAACCUUGUCGAUUGACGUUACCCGCAGAAGAAGCACCGGCUAACUCCGUGCCAGCCGCCGCGGUAAGAC
rnacentral:rRNA from 1 species